GUCCUCAAGCUGGCAGGUGGUCGGGGGAGCGGCCGGAGAGGAGCUUCUGGGAGUUCGUGCCCUGCAGGACAUGACACCAGUGGCAUAUCACGGCCAUGGGGUCUCAGCAUUCCGCUGCUGCUCGCCCCUCCUCCUGGAGGCGAAAGCAAGAAGAUGACAGGGACGGUUUGCUGGCUGAACGAGAGCAGGAAGAAGCCAUUGCUCAGUUCCCAUAUGUGGAAUUCACCGGGAGAGAUAGCAUCACCUGUCUCACGUGCCAGGGGACAGGCUACAUUCCAACAGAGCAAGUAAAUGAGUUGGUGGCUUUGAUCCCACACAGUGAUCAGAGAUUGCGCCCUCAGCGAACGUGAGUUACCUGCCUCUCACCUGUCAAUACCUACUUCUGUCCCUAAUCUCUUUCUGUAUGUAUGAAUGCCAGUUAAUUCUUUGAAAACUACAUAUGUUCUUAUAAGUUCCCCAUUUUCCUUUUAACUGUUUGCCCAAGUAAGAUAUUUCUGCCCCCAUCACAAUCUGGGGAAAGAAACUUGAAGCUGGAAAUGCUUUGAAGGUCAAGGAAUGGAAUUAGAAGAAAUUGGGAAAGUGGGGUGUUCAGGGAGGUGUGGGACUGUCUCUGUCCACAUAGCUCCUUUCUUCAGCUUUUCUUCCCAGAGUGCAAACAGUGUUUAA
rnacentral:sRNA from 1 species